GAUCCUGGCUCAGGAUGAACGCUAGCUACAGGCUUAACACAUGCAAGUCGAGGGGCAGCAUGAUUGAAGCUUGCUUCAAUCGAUGGCGACCGGCGCACGGGUGAGUAACACGUAUCCAACCUGCCGAUAACUCGGGGAUAGCCUUUCGAAAGAAAGAUUAAUACCCGAUAGCAUAGUUUCCCCGCAUGGGGUUACUAUUAAAGGAUUCCGGUUAUCGAUGGGGAUGCGUUCCAUUAGGCUAGG
rnacentral:rRNA from 1 species